CGGAAACACAGUACAGUUAACACACAUUCACGCCAACACAAAGUCGAUUUCCUAAAUGACGGACAGAUGGUACUCUAGUUGGGAAUUUUGCGAUACAUGGUGAAAACAGAGUGCAAGAUCAACAAGAUGAGAACAAUGGCAGCAAACAAGGAUACUAGAAUGGCGCCUGCUGAGUGUUGGCAGAAUUUAUCAUAUAUAUUGCAGAUUUUGGUCCAACGAGUAUGAGAAUUUCCACGAAAUCCAACGUAAGCGACUCCUCCAGCAGUUCCUGCUGCUGAUGCUACAAUUGCCAGCAUUACCUGCAUUUUUUCACCCAAACUUUUAGUUUCAAAACAAUAUAUCCAUUGUGCUCGAAUAGUAUAGUAUAAUACCCAUGCAUAUAUUUACGCAUUUAUAAGUUAGACGUUUGAGAAAUUAGAAGGCAUGCUCACCACAUCCAUGGCAACAAUAUAUAAAGCCAAAAUUUUUGUGUAGCCUGGGUUUGACACUGCAGAGAUGCUGAGCAAGGUGGUUAUGAUGCUGUACAGGCCGGUUGUGGAGAGUGCUGCUACAAAGUAUCUGCAGUGUUUUACAUUUUUAAUUGAUCAGUAAAAAUAACUAUAGUAUAAAAUAGUGAUUGUUAUAAGAAAUACACGAGGACCGUCUAUAUUUUAAUCGGUGGAGAUUUAAUUAAAAUUAUUUAUGUCAUUAAUAUAUGCUUCUAGCACAAGUGCACAACUUAACAUAAAAUUGUUUCGCAACUGAGAUGUGGACGUGCGUUUUGUAGAAAAGCAUGCAAGGCAAUGAACUUACACAAAGGCCGGCGUAUCCGUAAAUCUGGUCGUGUUAGGCACCGAACCAAAUGGCGGAAACGGAACCAACUCCUUCUGUUUGCUGGUAACCAUCACCACCACAGCUGUGAGCGAGCCGAGAAACAACAACACCCUCAAAGCCACCUCCACCACCGCCGACUGCUUGCUCGUGGUGGCCGUAGCACGAGGCGGCGAGUUCUUGUGCUCUGAUGGCGCAACACUACUAGUCAUAUACGACGCCAUGAUAAUAGAUGAUACUCAGCUUAAUGAAAAUAGGUGGCUAGAGAAACUGGAUAUAUAUAUAGUACUACUAGUAGAAGAUGCGUGUGUACGUUGGCUUAUGAUUGGUUUAUGAUUUCAAAGGGUUGAAUAAUGCUACUCCUACUUAUAGGCGCCGGGGAGAUGGGGGAUGGGAGAUGUGAAUGGACGACUUCUUGUUAUCAUGUUAUGUAAACGCCCAACACAACACGCUAUUAUCCUCCAUGUCAUAUGAAUACACCGUAUGAAUAUAGUUAUUGGUCUGCUCCCAAUUUUGAGGAGAGAUUCAUAUUUUCACGCUUUCUAUUUUUGUGCAUGUUUUAUUACUCCCUCCGUCCCAAAAUAGUUGUGACAUUUCUAUUUUUGUUAGUCAAAUUGACUAAAUUUUGACCAAAGAUUAUAAGUCAAUCACAUGUCAUUUUAAAAAACUGAAAAUUAAAUUUUAAAGUAGAUUAAAAGUUAUUUCCAGUGACAUAUUUUUUUUAUUUUGUCAAUUGAUAUAAAUUUCAGUCAAACUUUAGUCAAUUUGACCGGCACAAAACCAAAUAUGACAACUAUUUUGAGACGGAGGGGUUAAAUCUAUUCUCACUCUUCGAAAGAACUUAGUAAUUAUUAUUAUGUACUCCCUCCUUCCCAUUUUAAUUGUCCAGUUUGACUUUUAAAUGGUCAAAUUGACCGAACUUUGACUGAAAUUUACACAUAUAAUACAAUUCUAAAAAUUAAAAAAAUUAUAUCUUUAUAAAGUACAUACAAUAUAUUAUAAAAUGUAACUUUUACUUUUUUAAAAUAAUAACAAAUUUGUUCUAUAUACUUGGUCAAAAAUUAGUCAAUUUGACCGUUGAAAGUCAAAACAGGACAAUUAAAAUGGGAAGGAGGGAGUAUUGUAUAUAGCUCAAGCUUAUUAUCAUUUAAUCCAGCCUAUCAAUAUAGCUAAAAAAUUUGAAUCUAAAUACAUAUAAUUAAUGUAAAAUGAUAUAGAGGUACGUCGAUGAAAAAAAGAGAGGUCGAUCUCUUGAUUAGCUACUUGCCUAGCGUAGAAUCAAUGGUUUAUGAAUUUGAUUGUGCAAACAUUUUUAAUGUUGAAUUAUAUUGCUAAGUCAAUCAAAUAAUUAAUAAAAUGAUAUAGAAUUAUAGUUGUCCACCUUAAUUUAAUUGGAGUAUCUCGAUUCUCAUGAAGUUUUUAAACAACAGUUUCCAUUUAUUUAAACAGUUGAAAUUAGCAUUAGCAUGCACGUACAAAUGUCAAGGAUUAAUUUAAUUUAUCAUAAAAUUAAGAACUUAUAGUAUUCGUGAAUAAAUGAAAUAUUGAUACUUGACUUUCAACAAAAAGAUUUGGCACGAGACGGUUAUCAACCGCCACAAUAACAUGUAGAUGCUGCUAUUUGGACACUGAUUGUAGAUGUUUUAUACAUCCAGUUGCAUGCACGGGACGUGCGUUACACGACGUUGACAUUGCAACGUGGCAACCUCUUGAUCACAUAUCACAAAUCUAUCAUGAUUGAUAUGAGUUGAAAGUUGGGCGUUGUUUGUUAGUGGUUUAGAAAAUUAUUAUCACAUUGAAUCGACAUUUCUUCGCAAUUAAUAUUCCCUCCGUCCCAAAAAGAGUGAGCUGGUUUGACUUUCACGGAGAUUAAGAAAAAUGUAGUAAGUUUAGUUGAAAAGUGGAUAAAGUGGUGGGACCUAUCAAUAUUUAAUAAUAGAUUUGAGAUAGUGAAGGAAGAUAGUGGGUGUAAUAGGGUUUAUAUUAUUAUAGAAAAGAGAUAGUGGAAGAAAGUAGUGGAUGUAAUAGUGAAAAGUAGUGUUCAAAAAUAGUAAGUAUUGUAGGUUAUUUUUUUGGGACGUCCCAAAAAGGAAUAAGGGUCACAUAAAAUGGGACAGAGGGAGUAUAAAAUUGGACAAACUGACACUCUUAAGUUAAAAAAGUUAAUUCUCUAUUUUAUUAUUGCACUGACGGAAAUUUUUAACUUUUUUUUUUACGAACAAUAAGAUUUUAUUGAACAUAAAACAUAAGAACACAGCCGAGACAAACCCCCAAACUGACAACUACAACCUGAUUGUGAAACAAAAAUCGAGCUAAACAGAUAGCCGCUUUGUUUUCAGAUUGCUUAACAAAUAGAAUAUAAAUAUUCUUGAUAAUAAAAAUGAUUACAAAAGUUUCUCGAGCAAUCCAAUCGACACCAACAUCACUGAAAAUAGUAGAAUCACAAAUGACCUGCGCACAUAAAAAAACCGGUGAUAGAACAGUGUUGUUGGGGGUACAGAUGCCCUAUAUAUUGAACAAUCCUUUGUUGUGCGAGGUGAGCUCUCACGAUAUGUACCACAAUUCCAGAUUUGAAGCGGGUUGCCCAGAUCUCUUAAUAGACUGUAGAAAUCAUUCUUAACGCAACAUGACAACGAAUCAAAAACGCAAUAAGACAUACACCCGAAAAUUGGGGACAAUCAACAACUCAAAAAGAUGGGUACGGUAACAAGAUCACAACCAAAAGGAUUUAGAUCUCGAUGUAUUGAAAACUAUUAUCAUAGAAAUUAAAGAUUUAGAAUUGGAAGAAACGGGAUGAGUGGAUGGAUGGGAUGAAUGUGGAUCUUGAUGGAAGAAGGGGGCGGUGAUGGAUGGAUGAUAGUUAUGAAUGGCGGCCAACUCUCAUUAGGGUUUUUUUAACAGACGGCCGAAGUGAUCGAAAUUUUUAAUUAAUCUACUUAGCGAAGAAAUUUUCCAGUCAAAUAAUUGUUUUAUUUAAAACUUGCAUAGAGAUCUUUCAGUUUGUCAUUAUAAAAAAUUUAUCAGAAAAAUUUUUUUAUGGUCUAACUACUCUGAUCUCUGAAAAUCUGUUCCAUCAUUAUCUCAACGGGUUAAUGCUUUAUUUAGUCAUUGUACGGGACCAAAACUUAAAACUUGUGAUCACGAGAUUAAGCUUAAAAAAUAUUUCAGCUCCGUUAAAUGGUCUUUGACUUUAAUGGAUACGUUAAUUUUAACGAAAUUGCAUAGUUCUUUUUGUUUAAAAACCCUGAAACCAACUCCUAGAGGCCAGAUCCUAAACAUAUGCAUACACACUUCUCUCUAUCCCACGAUCUCUCUUGAUCUCAAACAGGACAAUGAUGGAUGCUCAACGAGCUUUGCUAGAUGAACUCAUAGAUGCUGAUAUUGCCCUUCUUUCAUUUCCUCCCCCUCUUCCCGCAAUAGUGACGGCAUAUCAUAUAUUUCUCUUCUGCAAUUCAAAGUAUAUAAAUUCCGAUUUCAUGAGACACAUAAACUAAUUGGAAAAUGAUUGGCAGUUUUACAUAUCUAUACCAUAGUUACAUAGGACUGGGUUCGAUUCGAAACGGGGAACGAAAUCGGGUACGUGGAACAUUAGUUUUAGUGAAUCUGGUACGAUGGAACGUAUGGGUACGAUUGGUCCUUUUAAAAAGAAUUCUAUAAUCAUAUAUAUAAAUUCCAUUAUAAUAUACAAUUUUAGUUGAUAAUUUAUACAUUUAUAAUUUUUUAUAAAGAAAAAGAUAUUGAAUAACAAAUAAAAGUACACAUUUAUUGAUAAAAUAAAUUACUUAUCAUAUGACAUAGACAUGGAUCUAUUGUUCAAAACAAGAAUGAAGUGUGUUCUUGCGGGUCGUCACUUCCGGCGAUCUGGGUCGCGACCCUGAACGUUUCCGUUCGCGUUUCCGACCGUAUCGGGUACGAACGAUCUAGAUCGCGGUACGUGGCAGCGUACCCGUUUCCUUGUAUCUAUGAUCUAUACUCCCCAUUAUUUAUAGUCAAUAGAAUCAUUGUUACUUUGAUUAGGUCUCCUUGCCUAAAUCUUCGUGCAUUUGUAUGUUUCAGGUGCAUGCAUUUCAUAUAUCUUGAGAAUCCAAGCACCAGCAAUAGUAAUCAACAGAUCAUCUGGACUCAUUUGGCGGCAUAAUUAACACCAGAUUACUUGAAUCAAAAUUAAAAUGAUUUGUAAUGACCCUGUUUGACUAAUCUUAUACUUCAUAAAUAAGUCAUUUAUUUUUUUAAAAGUACGCAAAUGUAUAUUUAUAUGGAAAUAAGUAAAAAUCAGUUCAACGUCCACAAGAUUAAAAACAAACCGGAUGUUUAUAUUUAUCAAAGAUUAAUAAUUGCUCAGACAUUCACGGAAACAUACUACAGAUAACACACAUUCACGCCAGCACAAAGUCGAUUUCAUAAAUGACGGUCGUACUCUAGUUGGGAAUUUUGCGAUACAUGGUGAAAACAGAGUGCAAGAUCAACAAGAUGAGAACAAUGGCAGCAAACAAUGAUACUAGAAUGGCGCCUGCUGAGUGUUGACAGAAUGUAUCAUAUAUAUUGC
rnacentral:lncRNA from 1 species